AGAGUUUGAUCCUGGCUCAGAACGAACGCUGGCGGCAGGCUUAACACAUGCAAGUUGAACGGGAUUUGUGUGGUGCUUGCACCAUAUAAUGAGAGUAGCGCACUGGUGAGUAACACGUGGGAACGUGCCUUUUAGUGGGGGAUAACAUCUGGAAACGGAUGCUAAUACCGCAUACGCCCUGAGGGGGAAAGAUUUAUUGCUAAGAGGUCGGCCCGCGGUAGAUUAGGCAGUUGGUGGGGUAAAGGCCUACCAAACCUACGAUCUAUAGCUGGUCUGAGAGGACGAUCAGCCACAUUGGAACUGAGACACGGUCCAGACUCCUACGGGAGGCAGCAGUGAGGAAUAUUGGGCAAUGGAGGCAACUCUGACCCAGCCAUGCCGCGUGAGUGAGAAGGUUUUCGAAUUGUAAAGCUCUUUCGGGUGUGAAGAUGAUGACGGUAACACCAGAAGAAGCCCCGGCAAACUUCGUGCCAGCAGCCGCGGUAAUACGAAGGGGGCGAGCGUUGUUCGGAAUUACUGGGCGUAAAGGGUGUGUAGGCGGUUAAGUAAGAUAGUGGUGAAAUGCCGGGGCUCAACCUCGGAAUUGCCAUUAUGACUAUUUAGCUAGAAUGAUGCAGAGGAUAGCGGAAUACCCAGUGUAGAGGUGAAAUUCGUAGAUAUUGGGUAGAACACCAGAGGCGAAGGCGGCUAUCUGGGCAUUGAUUGACGCUGAGGCACGAAAGCAUGGGGAUCAAACAGGAUUAGAUACCCUGGUAGUCCAUGCUGUAAACGAUGAAUGCUAGUUGUUGGAGGAAUUCAGUGACGCAGUUAACACAAUAAGCAUUCCGCCUGGGGAGUACGGUCGCAAGAUUAAAACUCAAAGGAAUUGACGGGGACCCGCACAAGCGGU
rnacentral:rRNA from 1 species